GGAGGAUGGGUGAGUAAUGCUUAGGAAACUGCCCAGUAGUGGGGGAUAGCCCGGGGAAACCCGGAUUAAUACCGCGUACGCCCUUCGGGGGAAAGCAGGGGCUCUUCGGACCUUGCGCUAUUGGAUGUGCCUAAAUCGGAUUAACUAGUUGGUGGGGUAAAGGCCUACCAAGGCGACCAUCCCUAACUGGUCUGAAAGGAUGAUCAACCACAUCCGGACUGAAACCCGGCCCGAACUCCUACGGGAGGCAGCAGUGGGGAAUAUUGGACAAUGGGGGCAACCCUGAUCCAGCCAUGCCGCGUGUGUGAAAAAAGCUUU
rnacentral:rRNA from 1 species